rnacentral:rRNA from 1 species
GCGAUCAUACCAGCACUAAUGCACCGGAUCCCAUCAGAACUCCGAAGUUAAGCGUGCUUGGGCGAUAGGUGACCCCCUGGAAGUCCUCGUGUUGCACCU